AAUGGUCCAGUUUUGGGACUUCAAGCAUCAACAAAAAAAUUGCCUUUUGUGGGGGCCUCAAGGAAAAUAAUGGUCCAGUGUUUGAAACCCCAGGGCUGAUUUCUGGUCCCAGUCCGCCCAUGUUGGGGAUGAAUUCCAUUUAAAUUCCUAUCGGCUCAGAUUGGAAUUUCCAAUGGCAAAUUUUCCUAUUUGAAAAGAAAUGGAAUUUAAUUGUACUUCCUGAAAUUGAAUUGACCCCUACCGUGCUCACUACUCCAGGGUCCUCAACGAUCGAUAAUGUUGAUGUCGUCAUGUAUUCUCUGUUCUGUGACUGUAACUGUAAGUGAUGCUCAUUGUAAUAAUAUGUAUUUUUUUUUAUGUUCGUUCUCAACUGUUUACCCUCUGACAGCACACAUACCUCAGGUUCAAAUUCUAUUCGACUGACUAGUUGCAUAUAGGACGUGUUUUAAUGUUGUUCAACCCAAAUUAGAGGCUGGAACUUGGUAUGUAAAUACUUGUUGUUGUACACAGUUGCAGAACACUGAUUUUACACCGUAUCCUGUUGGGGAAAUAAUGUUUAUUUUUUUUCAUUUUACUUGAUUGAAAGGGGAAUUUGAAGAGUGUCUCUGUGGUUUUUAUAAUUCACUUUCUAAAUAUUAUGGUUCUCCCCUAAAUAAUAUAAGAGGGACUCUGCGCCACGUUGCGGGCCCGGCUGAGCCACGUUGCGGGCCGGCUGAGCCACCUUGUGGGCCGGCUGAGCCACCUUUUGGGCCGGCUGAGCUGAGCCACCUUGUGGGCCGGCUGAGCCACUAUGCAAUUGUAUAUAGUACCAGUCAAAAGUUUGGACACACCUACUCAAAGGGUUUUUCUUUAUUUUACUAUUUUCUACAUUGUAGAAUAAUAGUGAAGACAUCAAAACUGUGUGUGUGUGUGGAGUCAUAUAGUAACCAAAAAUGUGUUAAACAAAUGAAAAUAUAUUUAAGAUUCUUCAAAGUAGCCACCUUUGCUUUGAUGACAGCUUUGCAUUCUUGCAACUGACUUCAUGAGGUAGUCACCUGAAAUGCUUUUCCAACACUCUUGAAGGAGUUCCCACAUAUGCUGAGCAUUUGUUGGUUGCUUUUCCUUCACUCUGCAGUCCAACUCAUCCUAAACCAUCUCAAUUGGGUUGAGGUCAGGUGAUCUGGGU
rnacentral:lncRNA from 13 species